CGUACAUUUUCAUUCUUUUGCUUGGGUGGAACAAAUUAUAUUUUGCUUAGUUGGAGCAGCAGCUGUGUCGUGGUCAUCCCAAAGCCUCCUCAUGGAGACUGGCCUGUCAUUCAUAACCAACAAGGGUCCCAUAUCCCUCAGAUGAUUAAACUGCUGGACUGGGAGGACGACACAGACCACUGAAUCAUGGUCAUGGAGCUGCACAUGCCCUGCACGGACUUGAAUAGCUUCAUGAUGCUCCAGAUGAUCUGCAGGAUUGAAGAUCUCAAACCGGAGACCCUGCUGGUGGACCAGAACACCCUGGAGGUCAAACUGAUUGACUCUGAGUGCAGGGGAGUUCGUUAACUUUUCAGUGUUUUGAUAUUUUAUUAAUUAUCUCACAGAAACAUCCUAUAUGUAAAAUUAACCAAAAUGUGUGUGUCAACCGUCUUUACUGCAGGCACAAGAGCGUACUGUCCAUCAGAAGUAAUGGAAAUCUAAUGGCCAUGUGGUCACAAGGGAUACUCUUCUUUGAAAUGCCAUGUUCGCAGGCAUUAUAAAACAAGUCAUAAGCUGGUUGAAGGAGGAUUCGGCUUUGUGUAUGAAGGGACAAAGAUGCACUUAAGGUUUGUAAUAUUUAUCAAUCUGGGUCACUGGGAAAGACGUCACACGUGAUAGAGUGUUAUGCGUUACAUUUUCUGGCGUUUAUAUGCCCGUACUUCAGCCAUUUUGUGUGUCCGCUGUAUGCAGCAACUGAUAAAGAUCACUUAGUCACCAGUUCUAUGUAUGUCAAGCCAAACAUUUGAGCAAGACAUUUCUAUUUGGCCAUGGCUAGAUUGUAUGUCAGAUGACUGGUUUGCACAAGUUUUAAUACACUUAUUUCUGUAACUACUUGUUGAAACCGUGCAAGUUUCCAGUGUUUUAUUUUUCAGUUUUACUGUUUUAUUGGCUUGUCAUUUAUAACCAAUUAGGUUCCUCAGAUCAUUGAACUGCUGGACUGAGAGGACGACACCUGACAUGACAACAUCUACAAAAAACUAAAUUUGGCAAUUUGAAUUCUAAAUCACACGGAAAUCACCACCCAUAGCAGCAAACAAAAGUAUCCAACCCCCCAAAGACGGCAAUAUUUUUUAAAUGUACAGUUCUUUAGGGUGCAAUUUUUGUUUUAUGUACUUUAUCUAACAGUGAUUGGUCAUGAGGUCAUUGAGCUCAUAUCUGCAUGUAUGAAUAUGCCCGAUGAACCUUUUGAGACUUUAGAUUCUAGAGAGCAUUUGAUUGGACAGAAAGUUUGAUUUGAAAGUUUUAAAUGCUUACAUUUUCUAGAUGCAGAUUUUGUUUUGGAGCAUAGCUAGAUAACCUUAGAAAACCAUUGGUUUACUACCAAAAUGACCUAAAGAAAGGAAGAAAAAACAAAGCAGAAAGUAAAAAAGUAAAAGUCAGGCAUCAGGCAUCAGGCAUUAUUCUACUAAAGAAAUUUCAGCUCACUUUACAGUAAAUAUCUUUGCACACUGAAUCCGAAGUUUUUUCUGAGAUCCAAAAUUUUUGCAUGUUGAAAAAUAACAGCAAUCUCCUGUUGAGUCAAUAACGUUUACAACACAGCCUUCGAAACUUUUGUAACGUGAUGGCUGCAGAUCUUUAGAGCUCCUUUAGAGCGUCCAGCCAUAUAUUUUUUUUAUUUAUGUUAAUAACGAAAUGUGCAAUCAAAGAAGUCAGAUCUAAAACAAAUUAUUGGACCUUUAAUAUAAGUGCGAGUUUAUAGUCUCUUUUAUAAUGGCUAAUAUUUCAGUGCUAAAAAAAUUGCUUUCCACCACAGUGAUCGAUGUUAUACUCGAGAAACUGAAAGGUAGGUCAAUGGAAGGUACACUUGUCUGCCUUGAAUUACAGCUGGUGUUCACACAAUGAUUUAGGACUUCUGCAGGCGGUGUUCUGCCAGGCACCAGAAGUAAAUUAGAAUGUCAUCGAUAUAGACAAUGACAAAUAUGUGCAGGAAGUCCCGGAGCACCUCAUGCAUGAAGUCCUGGAAGACAAAAGGAGCUUUUACAAGCAUAUUAAGUUAUAGACAAAUUGCCCGGACGCAAAUUAUAUAGUUGCUCAGCAGCCAACGAUUCACCCACUGAUCUGCCAAAAACUUCUCUAAAAUGGACGAGAAACAGCUGGAUAGUUGAACCAUGGGACCCAUUUGCUCCUAGAUAAACUCUGCAAACUGCAGUGUGGGGCCUGUAAGAAAAGAGAGGACAUAAGCUAUCUCAGCACGUUCAGUGAAAAAGACAUGUGGUUGCAUUUUCAAAGCCAGCGUGCACUGAAGAAUGAAGCCAUUGUCAGUUAAUGACAGGGAUCAAACGGGGAAAUCGUCUUUGCAUAAUCAAGAUCUCCUGACGAUGUGUGCGAUCCUUAGAUAUAUGGAAAAAACCUUGGUUUCUGAAUCAGGACCCAGUGUUUGGGGAUCCUUGUUGCCACAUGAUGCUAGUGAUGGAUACAUCCCUCGAUGGUUGGGGAGCAGUCAUGACUGGCCACUGUCUGUGGACCGGUCGCCAUCUGGGACUGAAUGCUAUGGUACAGACCUGGCCGAGGCUCUGUCUGUACACUUUUUUGCCCCAAUCAUUCGAUGGCAUGACUAUGUGACUGUGGGCGACACACCUAGUAAUACGCUUCCUCCGUGGUGCGCAGAGGUUGAGACCACCAGUACAAUCUCAUGUCACCACGUGGGAUCUGGCAGUGGUGCUAGACGCUCUGGGCAGAACCCCUUUUGAGCCAAUAGAGGAUAUAUCUUAUCUAGACUUUGCACUCGAUCCGGCAAAAGAUUUCUUGUAUCCU